rnacentral:rRNA from 1 species
AUUGAACGCUGGCGGCAGGCCUAACACAUGCAAGUCGAGCGGAUGAAGGGAGCUUGCUCCUGGAUUCAGCGGCGGACGGGUGAGUAAUGCCUAGGAAUCUGCCUGGUAGUGGGGGAUAACGUCCGGAAACGGGCGCUAAUACUGCAUACGUCCUGAGGCAGCAGGUGGGGGAUCUUCGGACCUCACGCUAUCAGAUGAGCCUAGGUCGGAUUAGCUAGUUGGUGGGGUAAAGGCCUACCAAGGCGACGAUCCGCAACUGGUCUGAGAGGAUGAUCAGUCACACUGGAACUGAGACACGGUCCAGACUCCUACGGGAGGCAGCAGUGGGGAAUAUUGGACAGUGGGCGAAAGCCUGAUCCAGCCAUGCCGCGUGUGUGAAGAAGGUCUUCGGAUUGUAAAGCAGGUUAAGUGGGGAGGAAGGGCAGUAAGUUAAUACCUUGCUGUUUUGACGUUAACAACAGAAUAAGCACCGGCUAACUUCGUG